CACCCAAUAGCACAUGGUGUGCACCUGCUUUACAAGUCUCUUGAGAUGUAUGCAGGAGGUCCCUGUUCGAUUCGGGGUUGGGUGG